GCCGCCAUGGCGGAAUUGGUAGACGCGUCGGAUUUAAAAUCCGAUUCUGGUUAUCGGAGUGCCGGUUCGAUCCCGGCUGGCGGUA
rnacentral:tRNA from 1 species